rnacentral:rRNA from 1 species
AUGGUGGGGCGUGCCCGGCCGCACGCUGGAGGCCGUCCUCAAGUACAUCGAGGGAGGCAACACGCCGAGGCUGGAGUACCCCGAGCCCCCGUCCUUCUCUCGCCGCCGUGGGAGCUCGUGGACGCCGAGGAGCAUGGACCCCGGGGCGUCCUCCUCCUCGUCCGGUCGGUCGACCGGCUCUCCCUGCCUCCGCCCCGUCAAGCCGGAGCCCCAGGACACGCCUGUCAGCCGGCACACCCGCAGCUCCGGUGUCCGCAUCGCCGACUCCACCCCCGCCUCUGGCCGCCUCGUCCUCGUCGCGCCCAAACCGGAGCCCAGCCUCCCCCCGGAGUACGAGGAGCUAGCCCGGCGCGGCUUCUCCGACGAGGACGCCCUACGGUGGGCGCGCGACGACUACCUCCGCGACGAGAUGGUCCGGCAGCGCCGGGCCCUGGAGGAGAUCGCCGUCCGCAAGCGUGGGCGCGAGGACGAGCACGGCGUCGUGAUCCUCGACAACGACGAUGA